rnacentral:rRNA from 1 species
UACGGAAGGCAGCAGUGGGGAAUAUUGCACAAUGGGCGAAAGCCUGAUGCAGCUAUGCCGCGUGUAUGAAGAAGGCCUUAGGGUUGUAAAGUACUUUCAUCGGGGAGGAAAAAACAAAACUAAUAAUUUUAUUUCUUGACGUUACCCGAAAAAGAAGCACCGGCUAACUCCGUGCCAGCAGCCGCGGUAAUACGGAGGGUGCUAGCGUUAAUCAGAAUUACUGGGCGUAAAGAGCACGUAGGUGGUUUUUUUUAAAGUCAGAUGUGAAAUCCCUGGGCUUAACCUUAGGAACUGCAUUUUGAAACUGAAAUACUAGAGUAUCGUAGAGGGAGGUAGAAUUCUAGGUGUAGCGGUGAAAUGCGUAGAUAUCUGGAGGAAUACCUGUGGCGAAAAGCGGCCUCCUAAACGAAUACUGACACUGAGGGUGCGAAAAGCGUGGGGAGCAAAACAGGGAUUAGAUACC